CCCGACUGCUAUCAGAGUGGGACUAAGCCAUGCGAGUCGACAUAGCAAUAUGUGGCGUACGGCUCAGUAACACGUAGUCAACAUGCCCAGGGGACGUGGAUAACCUCGGGAAACUGAGGAUAAACCGCGAUAGGUCACUACUUCUGGAAUGGGUAAUGACUCAAACCUAUAUGGCCCCUGGAUUGGACUGCGGCCGAUCAGGCUGUUGGUGAGGUAAUGGCCCACCAAACCUGUAACCGGUACGGGCUCUGAGAGGAGGAGCCCGGAGAUGGGCACUGAGACAAGGGCCCAGGCCCUAUGGGGCGCAGCAGGCGCGAAACCUCUGCAAUAGGCGAAAGCCUGACAGGGUUACUCUGAGUGAUUUCCGUUAAGGAGAUCUUUUGGCACCUCUAAAAAUGGUGCAGAAUAAAGGGUGGGCAAGUCUGGUGUCAGCCGCCGCGGUAAUACCAGCACCCCGAGUGGUCGGGACGUUUAUUGGGCCUAAAGCAUCCGUAGCCGGUUCUACAAGUCUUCCGUUAAAUCCACCUGCUUAACAGAUGGGCUGCGGAAGAUACUAUAGAGCUAGGAGGCGGGAGAGGCAAGCGGUACUCGAUGGGUAGGGGUAAAAUCCGUUGAUCCAUUGAAGACCACCAGUGGCGAAGGCGGCUUGCCAGAACGCGCUCGUCGGUGAGGGAUGAAAGCUGGGGGAGCAAACCGGAUUAGAUACCCGGGUAGUCCCAGCUGUAAACGAUGCAGACUCGGUGAUGAGUUGGCUUUUUGCUAACUCAGUGCCGCAGGGAAGCCGUUAAGUUUGCCGCCUGGGGAGUACGGUCGCAAGACUGAAACUUAAAGGAAUUGGCGGGGGAGCACCACAAGGGGUGAAGCCUGCGGUUCAAUUGGAGUCAACGCCGGAAAUCUUACCGGGGGCGACAGCAGAGUGAAGGUCAAGCUGAAGACUUUACCAGACAAGCUGAGAGGAGGUGCAUGGCCGUCGCCAGCUCGUACUGUGAAGCAUCCUGUUAAGUCAGGCAACGAGCGAGACCCGUGCCCACUGUUACCAGCAUGUCCUCCGGGACGAUGGGUACUCUGUGGGGACCGCCGAUGUUAAAUCGGAGGAAGGUGCGGGCUACGGUAGGUCAGUAUGCCCCGAAUUUCCCGGGCUACACGCGGGCUACAAUGAAUGGGACAAUGGGUCCCUACCCCGAGAGGGGUUGGUAAUCUCCCAAACCCAUCCGUAGUUCGGAUCGAGGGCUGUAACUCGCCCUCGUGAAGCUGGAAUCCGUAGUAAUCGCGUUUCAAUAUAGCGCGGUGAAUACGUCCCUGCUCCUUGCACACACCGCCCGUCAAACCACCCGAGUGAGGUAUGGGUGAGGGCACGAACUUCGUGUCGUGUUCGAACCUGUGCUUUGCAAGGGGGGU
rnacentral:rRNA from 1 species